AGAGAUGUGUGAUGACGCAUAUCAAUAAGCGGAGGAAAAGAAACUAACAAGGAUUCCCUUAGUAACGGCGAGUGAAGCGGGAAGAGCUCAAAUUUGAAAUCUUCAAGGUUCUACCUUGACGAAUUGUAGUUUAUAGAAGUGUUUUCUGUUAGUAGGAGUGGCAAAAGUUCUUUGGAAUAGGACAUCAUAGAGGGUGAGAAUCCCGUAUUUGACCGUUACUUUCUAGCUUUGUGAUACACUUUCAACGAGUCGGAUUGUUUGGGAAUGCAGUCCAAAAUGGGUGGUAAAUUUCAUCUAAAGCUAAAUAUUGGCGAGAGACCGAUAGCGAACAAGUACCGUGAGGGAAAGAUGAAAAGAACUUUGAAAAGAGAGUUAAACAGUACGUGAAAUUGUCAAAAGGGAAGCGUUUGACACCAGUGUUGUUUUUCCGAAAAUCAAUUACGAAUGUUUUAUUUUUGAGAAGUUAUGACUUCAUCGGCUUGCUUCUCUCUUUAUGAAACUUUCUUAAUGCACUUUUCGGUUAACAAGUCAACAUCAAUUUCUUUUGUUGUAAAAGGGUAUGAGGAAGGUGGCUUUCUUUUCGGAGAAAGUGUUUAUAGCCUUGUACCUCUGCAAUCGGAGAGAUUGAGGUCUGCAGCGUAGAUCCUUCGGGGUUAGAUACAUUUGUGCUAAGUUAUAGCUUUUCAUAGACAACUUGUUGACUAUGUUUAGUCUUGUAGCUUACUCGCUUAUGCUAUUUUACCUACGCUUAGGAUGUUGACGAUCAGCUGAGCGCG
rnacentral:rRNA from 1 species